rnacentral:lncRNA from 1 species
GAGUGAUGACGAUUCAGGGAACCUGGUGGCCAUUUUUAGGGACACAAAUAAAAUAAACCCAAAAGCAGGCGGAGUGGAAACACGGAGCAGUGGCUGGGGGGUAUGGGGAGGCAGUGACAGUGGGAGGCCACAGUGGAGUCGUUCUGAGAGUGACGCAGCCAGACGUGAUUAUCUUUCCUGAAUCUGAUGUACCUCAUGGUGAGGAAGGGGACAGGCCCAGGAGGAUCCUUGCAUACAUUAGCUGUUAGCUGUGAGAGUCGCUUCAGAGGUUCCCAACAGAACACUCUGGAAGCAUAUAGUUCUACAGGGGAGCUGCAGCGUUCUCUUGUUUCAGAGCUGCUCAGGUCAGAAACGCAAACACUUUGAGCUUCUCUGAUGAGGCACGAGGCCCCAGGGCCCAAGGGGCAGUGGCUCCACUACAGAGGAGAGAGCCGAGUAAACCAGGGUGAUUUAGUUCCUACAUGUGGCCCAGGCCUGCUCCAGCUGCACAGAGCUGGUUCUUACAGGCUCUGUUCUAAAUAAAUCAUCCUGCAAAACAGCCUGAAACCAAAACAGCUUCUGCAGCUCUAAACUAGAACGUUUGGACAGGUGAUUUCGUUUUUUAAAAACAGUCCAGCUGACACUGCCAGAUGGUUUCCAGACUGCAAAAAGAACCUUUGCAAACAUAUUCCUAAAGCCACACAGCCUCCUGCCCUUUUGCCCCAGAAGUCACUCUCC